rnacentral:other from 1 species
GAACUCCUACCGUGUUCGCCAGUGCCAUAUAUUCCUUGAACCAUUUAUGUGCAUAGGCUUUGGAAAUUGUUCAAUGGUGUGAGCGUCGCUUAUGUCCGAUGAACCCGAUUUGAACUGACCUUGGCCGACUUGAACCGCCGGGUUCAGGAUGCCGGCAUAGCGGCACUGGUGGGAACUUA